GUUCAGUUGGUAGAACAUGACGCUUGUAAUGCCAGAGUGGUGGGUUCCAUUCCCAC
rnacentral:tRNA from 1 species